GGGGAUCAUGUAGGGUGGUUGACCAUCUCCGACAUGCCUAUGAUUUCUAGUUUAAUUUAGUUCUAACAAACAGCUCUCAUUGUGUGUGUUUGUUUCACCAAACCCCAUACAUUGAGGACCAUUCUGAUCAUUUUAUCUUUGUUUUCUGUUUUUGUUAUACUGUGUUCCUCAGAGGCUGCGUUUCUGUGGGUAAGCAACAGCAGAAACAUACAACACUUAAAUUGAAAAGGAAAAUGAUGGGGCUAUGAUGAUUGAUUGUUAUUGAGCAUAUAGAACCUGCCAUUGUAGUUUCAGGCCUGUAUCUUGGCGGGGCGACCAAUAUUAUAGGGUUUGCAGCCAUGGCAGUGUCAAAGAACUUUUGCCUGAGAUCAACUACUCAUCUGAGCCUCAAGAAAUGGCUGAAUACAUCGACAGCCCCUCAAACUUGUCAAUUUUUUUCAUUUGGACACCUGAACUAAUGGUGGUUCUAUUCAUCACCUGAACUCGAGUCAAACUAUGUCUAUUAGACAUAGACACACGUUGCUGAAGUUGUCCAACCGGGCUCUUAUGGAAAAGUUAACACUUUCCAACUUUUCCAUAGGAGGCGGUGAUGAUAUUGCUAAUCAGGUCUGGAAUUUGAGGCAUGGAGAAAAUCCAACCCGUAUCUAGGCAUGGCAAACCCGGAUGGUUUGUGAUUGGGGCUUCUCUUUCACAUACAACCGGUUCUUUUGCAGCCACGGCAUUGUUGCCUUCUCUUUGCCCCAUUUUAGGCAUAUCUGAGCCUCAACUUCCAAUUACUCUUUAAAAUAGGGUCCUAAAAACGGCUAUUUGUUCACUUCCCCCAUUUUACGGCAUUGAGAAAAUCCGAUCCGUUUCUAGGGCGACCUGGUAUGACAUCAUUUGCAAACCGGUGUCUGCAGUCAUGGGAUGUGUCACUUUCACUUUGCAUAGUUCGUAGAACAACCAUUUGAUGGUCUUGAAUGGAUGGUCGUUCUCUGGAACCGGAACACACUGUUGGGUUCUUCAUUUUUUUCUUGAACAUCCCAUUUUCAGAUGCUGUUUUCCAUCAAGUUGGUUGCUAAAAAAUGAGGCAAUUGGAGACAGAAUGGAGAUUUUUCAGGGUGGUUGACCAUCUCCGUCAUGCCGGUGAUUUAUUUUUUGCUCUAAAUCAACAACCCCUUUUGCAUAUAUGAUUGUGUGCAUAUGUGUAUGUAUGUAUGUAUCUAUCUAUCUAUUACCUGUAACCUGUAAUUAUUUAACUGCCAGUACCACGUUGGGCUGUUUUAUGAACCAAACAGCAAGAGAUCAGUGUAAGAACAGGGAGAAUUAUUUAACUGCCAGUACCCCGUGUGAUAGGAUGGAGUGUAUGCAGACCUUACCCUUACCUUGUGUGAGGUAGAGAGACUGUUUUUAAGCAUUUUCAAAACAGGCUUGAAAAAUACAAGAGUAAAAAGCUAAGGAUGAAAAUACUGAAGAAAAGAGAAGUAUUGACAGCAAAAUAGUAGAGAUAACUAACGUAAAAGAAACAACAGUCGUAAUAAAAUUAACUAAUAAGAUAAUAAUAGAAAAAUGAUAAUAAUAUUGAUAAGGAGAAGAGAGGAUAAGCACUGUUUUCUGAUAUACUCACAAAAAGCCUCGAUUGAAACAUACAUGGCAGGGUAACCUGGAGAGGUUGUAGUGUAUGAUGCGCAUGUAUAUUAUCUGAAUACUAGGGGUAUCGAUGGUUCGGUUCGGCCAAUUAUUUUACAAUGAGGCCCAUAUUUUUUGGAGGUCCAAAAGCAUUAGGGAACUGUAACCUGAAGCGGACGGGGAAACAAAAAUGAUAAAAAGCUAAUUAGUUUAAGUCUGAGGCUGCUGGAUUCAGAGAGUUGUGGGGAGUUCUUUGAGUGGUUGCCCCUCUCUACCAUUCUUAGCGAUCACUCAAAGUUUUCCUAUAUCAAACCACUCAUUAGCAAAAUAAAUUCAAUGAGGCAAUGAAGUUGUUCACUCUUUACUCAUCAGCUGGUUAAGCUUUGCUAUAUCUUGGCGUGGCAGCUUUUGGGAGGUCUUGUGUGACAUUGCAGCUAUUUUGGUUUCUGUGUCUCGCAAAGGCUCCUUAAGCUUGCAGCCAUGGCGGGUUUAGCUUAUGCCUGAGAAAAGGUGAAUCUGAGCCUCCCGGGUAUCUUUUUGUAUUUAAAGAAUGAGGCUUUUUAUGGAACUCGAGAAAGCUUGAGAUUUUCUAAGGGUGGUUAUUCUCUUUCUUGGAAGUGCAAUUUAGCCAAUAAAUUUUCCUAUGUCUUUGUUGCAAACAGAAAUAUUAACAGCCCUUUCAUCAGCAAAAAGCCAAUUAUGGUGUUGAGGAUAAUGAUGAAUUGAUGAUAGCCAUGGUUGUGGUAGUAAUAAAGAAAAGGCCAAAUACAUAGAUAGCCCCUUAAAGGUGGCACGAUUUGUCAGUUAGUUUGCCCCUAAACUUGUCUAGACUCUAGAGAAAUCUUUUUGUACUUGGAUCCCAGACCCUAGACUUUGUGAAUGAGGCUAUGAUUAUAUUUUCCAGGAAGCUUGAAAGUAGUCAGAUUGUUGAGCUGAUUCGCAUCUUGGCUAGGCAAACACGGGGGAGUUUGUGAGGUGGGUUCUUAUUUGCUCUCUCACAAAGGUGUCUGCUUCUUGCAGCCAUGGCGGAUUAACCAUUUUUCUGAUAGAUUUAUGGCGAAUCUGAGCCUCUUUUCUGUGUAAAGUGAGCUUUUUCUUUCUGCGGAUCUUUACCCAAAUAGUCAGUCGGAUUCAUACAUGGUUAUACACAUCUUACACAUGGAUUAUACAUCCACCAGCUAUUCUUAGUUUAAGCGGUUGGAUGUGCGGCUAUUUAGGUUAAUUCUUCUUCUUUCUGGGCUAUAUCUGCUUUAAAUGCAUUGAGAAAAUCCAACCCGUAUCUUGGCGGGACAUCUGUGUAUGUCAAUCAUCUGCAAACCGGUGUCUGCAGCCGUGGCGUGUGUCCCUUUCUCUUUGCAUUUUUCAAAAAACAGCUGAUGUUUAUAUGUGUGUUUGUUUAAUCAAACCCCAUACAUUUAGGACCAUUUUGUUCAUUUUCUCUCGGUUUUCUGUUACUGUUACGCUAUGUUCCUCACAGUUUGCAUUCUAUGGCAAAGCAACAGCAGUAACAUACAACAAUGAAAUUGAAAAGGAAAAUGCUGGGGCUGUGAUGAUUGAUUUUUAUUAAGCAUACGGAACCUGGCAUUUUAGUUUUAGGCCUGUAUCUUGGCAGGGCGACCUGUAUUUUAGGGGUUGCAGCCAUGGUAGUGUCAAAGAACUCAUUGCCUAAGAUCAAUACUUAUCUGAGCUUCAAGUCUUUCUGAAAUGGCUGAAUACAUCAAUGGCCCCUCAAACUUGUCAAUUUUUUUCAUUUGGACAGCUGAACUAAUGGUGGUUCUAUUGACUACCUGAACUCGAGUCAAACUGUGUCUAUUAGACACACGUUUCCGAAGUUGUCCAAACGGGCUCUUAUGGAAAAGUUAACAUUUUCCAGAAGAGGCAGUGAUGAUAUUGCUAAUCUGAGCAUAAUAACCGAGAAAAUCCAACCCGUGUAUUGGCGGGGUAACCCGGUAUGGCAUCAUUUGCAAACCGGUGUCUGCAGCCAUGGCCUGUGAUACUUUCUCUCUGCAUAGUUCAUAGAACAGCAAAAUCUGAGCCCUAAAAGUUAUACGGCAGCCAUUUGAUGGUCUUGAAUGGAUGUUCGUUCUCUGGAAUAGGAAAAAUGGAGAUUCAGUCCAGUAGAAGAAUGAGGCCAACAGAGAGAAAAAGGGAAUUCUUGUGAGGGUGGUUGCCCCUGCUGCUUGGCCUAUGAUUUCUCCAUCAACCAAACCAACAACCCUCUUCAGAAAUCCUAGUACUGCUUUCUGAUUUCUCUGAGCUUAAACUAAACAUCCUUUGAUCUCAGUGUUAGUUUGUCAAAAAUUGUUUGAAAUUGACUAAACAGGCUAUAUAUGGAAAAGUUACCAUUUCUCUAGAGGCAGUGAUGAUAUUGCUAACCUGGGAUAAUAUUCGGGGCGUGGAGACAAUUCGACCCCUAUCUUAGCACGGCAAGCCCGGAUUGUUUGUGAUCGAGGCUUCUCUCACAUGCAACCGGUUCUUUUGCAGCCAUGGCAUUGUUGGAUUCUCUUUGCCCCAUUUUUUGUAGAUCUGAGCCUCAAUUUCCAACUAGUACAUCUGGACUUUUCGGGACUCAAAACCAUACAUCUGGACUUUUCGGACUCAAACCAGGACGUCUCGUUUGGUAUAACCCAUUUGUGUUUUUCAGUUUUUCUUGUUUGUUGCAGUUCUCCAUAAAAAUUUUAGCUCAAAGAAUGAGGCAAUUGGAGAAAAAAUGGAUUUUCGAGGGUAGUUGAACGUCUACAUCGUGCCUAUGAUUUCUAUUUCCUUUUAGCUCUAACAAACUGCUUUUUUUCUUUAUGUGUGGGUUUGUUUAACCAACCCCCAUACAUCAAGGACCAUCUUGAUCAUUUCUCUCUGUUUUCUGUUACUGUUUUACUCUGUUCCUCAGAGGCUGCGUAUCUAUGGUAAAGCAACAGCAAAAGCAUACAACAAUGAAAUGGAAAAGGAAAAUGACGGGGCUGUGAUGAUUGAUUGUUAUUAAGCAUAUAGAACCUGGCAUUUCAAACCUGUUUUGAAAAAUGCUUUUCUUGAGCCAAGGGUCUACCGGAAACAACCUCUCUACCCCACAAAGUUACGGGUAAGUUAGGGGUAAGGUCUGCGUACACCCAUCCUCCUUAGACCCCACAUGUGGGAUCACACGGGGUAUGUUGUUGUUGUUGUAACCUGGCAUUGUAGUUUCAGGCCUGUGUCUUGGCGGGGCGACCCAUAUUAUAGGGUUUGCAGCCAUGGCAGUGUCAGAACUCAUUGCCUGAGAUCAAUUACUUUUAUGAGCCUCAAGCCUUUUUGAAAUGGUUGAAUACAUCCCCUCAAACUUCGCAAGUUUUUUCGUUGAGACACAUGAACUAAUGAUGGUACCUCUUGAACACCUGAACUCGAAGAGGCAGUGAUGAUAUUGUUAAUCUGGGCUAACAUUUGGGGCAUGGAUAAAAUACAACCUGUAUAUUGGCAUGGCAAUCCCGGAUGGUUGUGAUUGGAGCUUCUCUUUCACAUGCAGGCGGUUAUUUGGCAGCCAUGGCAUUGUCACCUUCUCAUUGCCCCAUUGUAGGCAGAUCUGAGCCUCAACUUCCAUUAGUCUUUAAAUAGGGGUCCUAAAAAUGGCUAUUUGUGCACUUCCCUCUCUUUAUUGCAUAGAGAAAAUCCAACAUGUAUCUUUUUUUUUUGAUAACCGUGGUGUCCAGGCCAGCUUGCGCGCACCUCGACUAAUUCCACGGGAUACCUGCAACCUCCCACUAGCAACAGGUACCAACAGCUAUCAAGUAACUCUAUCCACCAAGGCUUGGAUAGAUGGGAAGAAAUUUGAACCUGAGACCUCAUGGUUCUCACCCACUUCAUUGACCACUAGGACACCCUUGGGUGCAUCAGUGUAUUGGUAUUACUUACAAAAUCCAACAUGUAUCUUGGCGGGGUGAUCCGGUAUGGCAUCAUUUGCAAACCGGUGUCUGCAGCGUUUGCCUGUGACACUUUCUCUUUGCAUAGUUCAUAGAACAGCAAAAUCUGAGCCCUUAAAGUUUUUUGUUUUUUUCUUGAACACCUAUUUCAGAUCCUGUUCUCCAUCAAUUUUUUAUCUAAAAAAUGAGGCAGUUGGAGAAAAAAUAGGGAUUUUUCAGGGUGGUUGACCAUCUCCGACAUGCCAGUGAUUUCUUUUUUGCUCUAAUCAACAGCCCUUCCUGCAUAUGUAUGAGUAUGUGUAUAUAAUAAUAUAUAUAUGUAUUUGUAUGCCUAUUUCGAUCUCUAUCUAUGACUAAUCUGUUUCUGCAUGGCUGCGUUUUCAAGCAAAGCAGCAGCAAAAGCAUAGAAAGGGGAGGUUUAGUUUCCUAAAUGCAGACUUACGUGCUCUCUUCGGUUAAAUUCUCUCUUAUAAAUCAGAGAGUGUUUUACUUCACAAAAUUGGAGGUUCAGACCAGUAUGAAGAAUGAGGCCAACAGAGAAAAAGGGAAUUCUUGUGAGGGUGGUUGCCCCCUCUACUUAACCUAUGAUUUCUCCAUCAACCAAACCAACAACCCUCUUCAAAAAAGUACUACUACUACUACUAUUGGUUUCUGAUUUCUCUGAGCUAAAACCAAACAUCCUCUGAUCUUAGCGUUUCUUUAUCAAAAAUUCUUUGAAUUGUCCAAACGUCUACUGUGUAAAAGUUUCUACUUUUCAAAAGAGGCAGUGAUGAUAUUGCUAAUACUGGGCUGAUAUUUGGGGCAUGGAGACAAUCUGACCCAUACCUUGGCAGGGCAAACCCGAAGGUAUGGGUGAGGCCUUCUCUGUCACAUGCAACCGGUUCUUUUGCAGCCAUGGCGUUGUCGCCUUCUCUUCGCCCCAUUCUUUUGCAGAUUUGAGCCUCAAUCUUCAACUAGUCUUUGUGGACUUUUUGGACUUGAACCCAAGACCUCGUCAUGUGGAAACCCAUGUCAUUUUUGAAAUAUGCAUGUUGUCUUUGCUGUUGCUGCUGCAUCUUCUUCUUUUUCUUUUGUUCUUGAUGAUGAUUGAUGUGUUAUCAACCAAAUAGCAAGAAAUCAAUGUAAUAAGAGGGAGAAUUUAUGGCUACGAGGAUAAUUCUUUUUUUGAGCAAUUUGAAUUAGGCUUUGAAAUGAUAAAGCCUUACUUUGGCAGGGUAACCAAGAGAGGUAGCAGCCAUGGCGGUUUUUGAUAAACUCAAUGCCUGAUUAAAUUGAAAUCUGAGCCUAAGUUAUGUACAUGAUGCACAUGUACAUUGUCUUUGUAUUACGUACAUAGUAACAUACACAAACAUAUCAUGAGAAAAUGUCCAAAAUGGUCCCUUAUUGAGGCAGUAUGAUCUUUCAAUCUAUGCUCCUAUGCUACUAAUUGAGCAUUGAGAGUACCCGCCCCAUAUCUUGGCAGGGCAAUGACCCUGGUGCUUGUGAAUUUUGUGAAAAAUUGCAUGCAACUGGGGGAUAUUUGCAGCCAUGGCGUGUCAGGACUUACUUUGCCUGUGCAUAAGUACAGAUCUGAGCCUCAAUUGUCACUUGUAUCUUACUUUGGGUGUAUUUGACCUGGAGGAAAAUGUUUUAGUGAAGCAGCCCUAAAAGUGGCUACCUGAUAUAAUUUCUGCAAUUAAGACCUUCGUCAUGAGGCCCAUAAUUUUGGGAGGUCCAAAAGGAUUAGGGCACUAUUAGAUCAAGCAUAAGGAAAAACAAAAAUGGCAAAAAUCUCAUUCUUCAAGUCUGAGGCUGCUACCACUCUGUCAUUCUCAGCAGAAGGUGAAACUAAAAUGGUGAAAAUCUUGGAGUUGUUGCUGCUCCCCUUUGUCUUUCUCAGCAACCAAUGAUCACUCAAAUUUCCUAUUUUCAAAUCACUCUUUGGCAAAUAAGUUCAAUGAGGCAGUGGAGAUUUUCAUUCUUUACUCAUCAGAUGGUUGAGCUUGCUAUAUCUUGGCGUGGCAUCUUUUGGGGGUUUUGUGAGUGGGAGCUAUUUUGGUUUCCGUGUUUCACAAAGUCUUCUUAAGCUUGCAGCCAUGGUGGGGUUUUACUUAUGUCUGAGAAAAGGUGAAUCUGAGCCUCGAGUAUCUGUUUGCGUUCAAAGAAUGAGGCUUUUUAUGGAACUCGAGAAAGGUUGAGAUUUUCUAAGGGUGGUUACUCUCUUUCUCCGAAGUUCUAUUUGGCCAAUGAAUAUUUCUUUACCUUUGUUACAAAGAGAAAGAUUAACAGCCCUUUCAUCAGCAAAAUGCCAAUUAUGGUGAUGAUGAUGAUAGCCAUGUUUAUGGUAGUAAUAAGGAAAAGGCCAAGUGCAUAGAUAGCCCCUUAAAGUUGGCAUGAUUUCCCAGUUAUUUUGUCACUUAAACUUGUCCCGAGAAAUCUUUUUGUACUUGGAUCCUAAACCCUAUAUUUUGUGAUGAGGCUAUGAUGAUAUUCUCCAGGAAGCUUGAAAGUCGGAUCAUUUAGCUGAUUCGUAUCUUGGCUAGGCAAAGGCAGGUUAAUUUGUGAGGUGGAUUGUUAUGUGCUCUCACAAAGGUGUCUGCUUCUUGCAGCCACGGCGGAUUAGCCACUGUUCUGAUAGAUUUUAAGGCAAAUCUGAGCCUCUUUUCUGUGUUAAGUUUAAUUCUACAAAUUGUCUUUCACAUUUACUACCAAAAUUCCUAAACAUUUCUUGUUAGCAAAUGGUACCUUUCUAAGGAUGAGUUUUCCUUGUAUUGUUCUUCUUUAUCAUCGGUCCAACUGGUUGAGGACAUACAAAAGCUUAAUUGGCCUUCUAACGGUAAACCAUGCAGUUGCAGGAUCUAUUGUUAUUGCGAUGGCUUGUUUCUUAUUGGGGUUCGUAAUUCUGAUAAACACCGCAUAUGGACUCUUUGGCAUUUGUACAUGGAGCAUUUCACUGUCUUGCUUUGUCACUGAAUAAUUUUGUGGUUUCAUUUUGUAUUGCAAAGCAGUACAGAGAGAUAUCGUUGCCAGAGAGGUGCUUGAUUUUAAACGUGGCCGUACAUAAAAAAUGGAGUUUCAGUAUUGGGAGGAAUGCUUUGUGGUUAUUCAACUUAUACUCAUCAGGGGAAGGACACUUUCAAGUUAGGAGUAAUGAAAGACUAUGGUUCAAGAAAUCUUGGAAUAAUUUGUUUACAUAUACAAGGUACUGAGGAAAUUGUUUCAGUGAAGCAGCCCUAAAAGUGGCUACCUGGUGUCAUUUCUACAAAUAAGACCUUUCACAUGAGGCCCAUAAUUUUGGGGUGUCAAAAGAUCAGGGCACUAUAGUAUGAAGCAGAAGGUGAAAUGAAAACGGCAACAAUCCCAUUAGUUUAAGUUUGAGGUUGCUGGAUUUAGAGAGCUGUGGCGAGUUGUUUGUGUGGUUGCCCCUCUUAGCAGCCAAUGAUCACCCAAUGUUUACCAAUUUCAAACUAUUCUUUAGCAAAUUAAGUUCACUGAGGCAGUGACGAUUUUCAUUCUUUACUCAUCUUUUGGCUGAUUUUUGCUGUAUCUUAGCGUGGCAGCUUACAGCGACCUUGUGAGAUAUGGGAUCUAUUUAGGUUUCUGUGUCUCGUGAAUGCUUCUUAAGCCUGCAGCCAUGGCGGGGUUUAGUUUAUGUAUGAGAAAGGCAAAUCUGAGCCUCCCACAUAGCUGUUUGUGUUUAAAAAAAUGAGGCUUCUUAUGGAACUCGGAGAAUGGUUGAGAUUUUGUAAGGGUGGUUACUCCCUUUCUCUGAAAUUCAAUGUUGCCAAUGAAUUUUCCUGUACUUCUCUUACAAAGAGAAAGACUAACAGCCCUUUCAUAAAAAAAAUGCCAGAUAUGUUCUAUAAGAUGGGAAAAUACAUAUUUUGCCCACCUAAACUAGCCCCAAAAAAAACCGAAUCCUAAACCCUAAACAUUGUGAAUGAGGCUAUGAUGAUAUUCUCCAGGAAGCUUGCAAGUCAGAUUUUUGAGCUGAUUCUUAUCUUGGCUAGGCAAAGGCAAGGGAAUUUGUGAGGUUGGAGGGAGUUAUGGUGUCUCCAAUUUCCCUGGAUCAUUUGUCUUUCUGCAGAGCCAAAUUUCAAGUUGUUCAGGGGUUCUCUCUUUUCAAGUUUCAUUUUCUUUUGGUAUUUUUAUCCCAGUUAUAGCUGUAGUUUCUUGGAGCCUUGCUUUAACUUUGAAGACUAUUCAACUCUUGGAGCUUGAGAUUGUGUCAAUACAAGUUUAACACUAAUGCUUCUUUAUUUCUCUUUCACUCUUAGAUGAGAAUGUGCACAGUUCAAGAAAGCCUGAUAGCUCUAACACGCGCAGGGAAUGAAGAAAACCGGUCAGUUUAAGAACUAAACUUAUCCACCAGCUGGUUGUCCUGUCCAAAAUUGAAUUCUGACUCCAUAGAGAAACUUCAAGCAGUUCUAUGAUAUAUAUAGGAAUUAAGAUUCUGUUGGUGAAUCUCUUGUGCAUAACAGCAUAGCAUAGAACGGCCCUUUCUAAGAUUCUUGAAUUACUUUGUGAUACACUUUGAGCAUAAGAUCGAUGUUCAUUAGAAUUCUUAGAAGAUCAAGAAAUGCGCGCCUUUA